UUGAAGACAAUAUACAUGGCAUAACAUAUUUGGUUGAGGCAAAUUCACAAGCGGCAAGAAAUCUUAAAAUCAAGCACCUAUAGUUCUGCUAUUAUCACUUUUGAGGUGAGUUCUUCGAUGUACCUUGUCGACCACAAUUUAUUGAAAAUUCUAACGACUAUCAACAAUAUUCUUAAGGUCGAUUUAAUAAGAGAUAUAUAAUUAUUUUUAUUUUUUAUUUUUAUUGAACCAAUAUUAUUUAAGUCGUUAUUUCAUUCAAAAAAUAAAGACAACCAUUAGGAUCUAUAUCUAAAAGACGGCAUCUGCAAUAGUUAAAGUUUUAAACAUUUUCUAAAAUUAGUGCAUGGUAGACCAUAAUCCAUAUUAGUAUCUCAAUUUUUAUGAUAACUUUUUUUUCCAACUCUAAUGCCCUCUAAAUCGGCCAAUCUAAAAGUGUAUUGUGACAAAAAAAACACCUUUGAAUUGGGGGUAAAAAAAAGAAAUCAUCCUUUUAUUCUUCCAACAUUAUACCUACCGCUCUGUUUCAGAAUACAUGCAAAUGACAGUGAAAGGACAAUAGAACUUUCAAAAAACACCAAUAAUUAAGACUUUAAAAACUAGAGCAACUUUAAAAUCUCUAGAUUCUUUUAGCGAUAUGUGAAUUGAAGCUACCCGAAUAUUUCUGUACUUGUAAUCAAUUACUUGUUUUAAAUGCCUCUAGAUUUUUCUAUUUUGUCAUCGUAAUGAGUUUUGGCCUCAUGCAUUUUGUUCGUGUCUUUCUUUUUAUUUUUUGGUGCAAUUUGUUGGUGCCUUUCUAUUAUGACAUUCUUUGUUGACAACUUCUAUUAUGUCAUUUAGUUAGACGCUUCUAGUGUAUAAACUAUGUGUAGAACUAAUGAUCAAACUUGUUGGAAAUAGUAGAACUUCAACAAAUAAUUAAUUAAAUGCACUCAAGUAAAUUAUUUGCAAUUUCUAUCUAUCCUUUUUUGAAGAUUGCUUGGAUGAGCACGGCUUGAAAGUCUGUUUGAAUUGAAAGCUUGUUAUUUUAGUGGAUAUGUCUAAUGUAUAGUGUGAAUAUAAAUCUAAAUCUGUAAAAUUAUAAUAUGG
rnacentral:lncRNA from 1 species